rnacentral:rRNA from 1 species
GCAUAUCAAUAAGCGGAGGAAAAGAAACUAACAAGGAUUCCCCUAGUAACGGCGAGUGAAGCGGGAAGAGCUCAAAUUUGUAAUCUGGCACUUUCAGUGUCCGAGUUGUAAUCUCUAGAAGUGUUUUCCGUGCCAUACUGCAUAUAAGUCUCUUGGAACAGAGCGUCAUAGUGGUGAGAACCCCGUAUUUGAUGCAGAUGUUGGUGCUCUGUGAUACACUUUCGACGAGUCGAGUUGUUUGGGAAUGCAGCUCAAAUUGGGUGGUAAAUUCCAUCUAAAGCUAAAUAUUGGCGAGAGACCGAUAGCGAACAAGUACCGUGAGGGAAAGAUGAAAAGCACUUUGGAAAGAGAGUUAAAAGUACGUGAAAUUGUUGGAAGGGAAACGCUUGCAGUCAGACUUGCUUUCACGAGCAGGCCAGCAUCAGUUUUCGUUGGCACAAAAGGGUGGGAGGAAUGUGGCUGUCUCGGCAGUGUUAUAGCCUCUUACUGGAUGUGUCUUUGGGGACUGAGGAACGCAGGGUGCUUUUAGCGAGGUCUUCGGGCCUUUCACCCUUAGGAUGCUGGUUUAAUGGCUGUAAACGACCCGUCUUGAAACACGGACC